rnacentral:rRNA from 1 species
GGCGCACAUAAGACAUGCAAGUCGAACGGAAGCCGUGCAAGAGACAAUUGACGAUUUAUCUGAUUGAGUCUCAUGCACAAUGACUUUAGUGGCGGACUGGUGAGUAACACGUAAGCAAUCUGCCUAUCAGAGGGGAAUAACAGUGAGAAAUCAUUGCUAAUACCGCAUAUGCUCACGUUAUCGCAUGAUAAAGUGAGGAAAGGAGUAAUCCGCUGAUAGAUGAGCUUGCGCCUGAUUAGCUAGAUGGUGGGGUAACGGCCUACCAUGGCGACGAUCAGUAGCCGGACUGAGAGGUUGAACGGCCACAUUGGGACUGAGAUACGGCCCAGACUCCUACGGGAGGCAGCAGUCGGGAAUAUUGCGCAAUGGAGGAAACUCUGACGCAGUGACGCCGCGUAUAGGAUGAAGGUUCUCGGAUUGUAAACUAUUGUCAUUAGGGAAGAUUAAAGACUGUACCUAAAGAGGAAGCCCCGGCUAACUAUGUGCCAGCAGCCGCGGUAAUACAUAGGGGGCAAGCGUUAUCCGGAUUUAUUGGGUGUAAAGGGUGCGUAGACGGAGGAGCAAGUUGGUUGUGAAAUCCCUCGGC